UAGGCGUAAAUGAUGCGAGUUAAGUGUGGGGGCAUCUACGAGAUGGCCCUGUGCUGUAGGGUAGCCGUUAAACUCGCUGCCUGGGGAGUACGGUCGCAAGGCUGAAACUUAAAGGGAUUGGCGGGGAGCACCACAAGAGGUGGAGGCUGCGGUUCAAUUGGACUCAACGCCGGAAAACUCAUCGGGAGCGACAGCAGUAUGAUUGCCAGGUUGAUGACCUUGCUUGACAAGCUGAGAGGUGGUGCAUGGCGUAGUCGUGU
rnacentral:rRNA from 1 species